AAGAUCUCAGACGAUGACGGGUAGCCGGCCUGAGAGGGCGACCGGCCACACUGGGACUGAGACACGGCCCAGACUCCUACGGGAGGCAGCAGUGGGGAAUAUUGCACAAUGGGGGAAACCCUGAUGCAGCGACGCCGCGUGAGGGAUGACGGCCUUCGGGUUGUAAACCUCUUUCAGUAGGGGAGAAGCCAAUGUGACGGUCCCUGCCUAAGAAGCACCUGCUAACUACCUGCCAGCCACCGCCGUAAUACGUACGGCGGAAGCGUUGUCCGGAAUUAUUGGGCGUAAAGAGCUCGUAGGUGGGUGGUCGCGUCUGCCGGGAGAACCCAAGGCUCAACCUCCGGCGUGCGGGGGGUACGGGCAGGCUAAAUUGUGGUAGGGGAGACUGUCACUCCUGCUGGGUCGGUCAAAUGAAUGCAUAUCUAGAAGAACGAACAUGGCUGGCGCAGGUCUCUGGGCCAUUACUGACACUGACGAGCGAAAGCAUGGGUGGCGAACAGGAUUAGAUACCCUGGUAGUCCAUGCCGUAAACGUUGGGCACUACACUGUGGGGAACAUUCCACGUUUUCCGCGUCGUAGCUAACGCAUUAAGUGCCCCGCCCUGGGGGAGUACGGACGG
rnacentral:rRNA from 1 species